CCCUAGCCCAGACAGAAGCGGCAUCCUUUUUCUUUUUUCUUUAAAAAGAAAAAGAUAGAGCGAAUGGCUGGAAAUAGC
rnacentral:sRNA from 1 species